GAGGAAAUUCCGGGACAUUGUGAUGACGUCGUAGUAGUGCGCGAAUCGGUUAUUUCGAAACAGUUCGAUUCGAGCGUCGCUCGGACCAAUUCACUUCAGCGCGAGCAUUGAUUGCGAGCAUAGAUUUGUUCUGUGAACUGAUUCAUUGGAAAUAAUCAAUUUAAAACAACGACGAUCUAAACGGAUCUAGCUACGUCAUAGUGAAGUCAGAGAUAACGAACAGAGGUAAAUCCCCAAAUUAAGAGCGAGAUGUGCUUCAAAAUUAAAGUUUCAGGUAAAGGUCCCCAAACGUGAUGGUGAUUUCUUAUUGAUAAAACGGCAUAACAGAUCUUGAAGGAGACAACAGAGCAGAGAUGAACUGAACGUUGAAGUGUUCUGUUUUGCAGAGAGCUUUCAGUGAAAUGAUGGUGUCAGUGUGCAUCAGCACAUCUACAGAGGACUGCAUUUCGUAUUGAUUCACAGCAUGAGGGAAUUAGUAGCCACUGGUUGUGAAAAGUGCCUUUUGAGUUACCAUUUCAAACAAGGAGAAUUAUUCACUGGAGAAAGCAAUAUUAUGAUAACUGAUGGACUGGAUUCAUAGAGCACUAAAGGAAAUGCCUUUCUCCAAGUUUCUGUUUCCAUACAACCAUAUUGCAUUGCAGUUUAUACCAUCAUCACACAUGCAAAUGAGUUCUAAGGGCUCUGGAAAACAGAAAGAUUUUGGUCCAUUCCUCGCAGAAAGCUACAAAUUAAUUUUUAUUCAGCUCAGCUGUAUAAAUCACCAUCCACCAUCCGCAUCCAUCCAAAAAGUUCAGAUCAGUGUUUGGCUCCUGAUGAAGAGCCGAACACAUAGGGGAGAAUAAUCAUGGAGAGCAGAGCAUCAUCAUCAUCAUCAUCAUCAGUAGGGAGCCAGAAUUGCUUUUGCCACUCCACAGCUGUCCUCUCUCUAUACGCCAAUCAGUUUGACUGCAGAGAGGCUCUUCAAGAAGGACCAUAAGUGUAUGGAAGUAUAUGGUUCAUGGGCACCAAAGUCUCCUGCACAAUUAGGCUUACAUUGAGCACGAAGAGACUUUUGACACCCAUGGAAGGGAUUUAAAUAAACAUAUUCAAAUUCA